UAUCCAUGGGUUCUUGCAUCACCCACAGAUCUUUCGCCUUUUACUAAAAAUUUCCGUGCAGAGGACUUAUUAGUCCUCUGCACGGAAAUUAAUUUAUUUUUGCCUUGUCUUUUGAAAGGGCG